GCCAUUGCUAUCGGAGUCCGAUUUAGCCAUGCUAGUGCACGAGUUCACACUCGUAGCAUAUAGCUCAGUAACACGUGGUCAAGCUACCCUGCAGACACGGACAACCUCGGGAAACUGAGGCUAAUCCGCGAUACCGAUCCCACGCUGGAAUGCCGGGAUCCACAAACGCUCCGGCGCUGCAGGAUGCGGCUGCGGCCGAUUAGGUAGACGGUGGGGUAACGGCCCACCGUGCCGAUAAUCGGUACGGGUUGUGAGAGCAAGAGCCCGGAGACGGAAUCUGAGACAAGAUUCCGGGCCCUACGGGGCGCAGCAGGCGCGAAACCUUUACACUGCACGCAAGUGCGAUAAGGGGACUCCGAGUGCGAGGGCAUAUAGUCCUCGCUUUUGAGAACCGUAAGGCGGUUCUCGAAUAAGAGCUGGGCAAGACCGGUGCCAGCCGCCGCGGUAAUACCGGCAGCUCAAGUGAUGGCCAAUCUUAUUGGGCCUAAAGCGUCCGUAGCUGGCCACGAAAGUCCGUCGGGAAAUCCAUCUGCCCAACAGAUGGGCGUCCGGCGGAAACUUCGUGGCUUGGGACCGGAAGGCUCGAGGGGUACGUCCGGGGUAGGAGUGAAAUCCCUUAAUCCUGGACGGACCGCCGAUGGCGAAAGCACCUCGAGAAGACGGAUCCGACAGUGAGGGACGAAAGCUAGGGUCUCGAACCGGAUUAGAUACCCGGGUAGUCCUAGCCGUAAACAAUGUUCACUAGGUGUGGCACAGGCUACGAGCCUGUGCUGUGCCGUAGGGAAGCCGAGAAGUGAACCGCCUGGGAAGUACGUCCGCAAGGAUGAACUUAAAGGAAUGGGCGGGGGAGCACUACAACCGGGAGGAGCCUGCAGGUU
rnacentral:rRNA from 1 species